rnacentral:ncRNA from 1 species
UCAGAAGUUCUUAAUGUUCUGCAAGUAAUCGCAGCCAUGUUUGAACACGAUGUUCAAACAAGCCGCCGCUGAGACAGGGAUGUCGAAUCGGCGGCGGUGGCGUAUAUUUUUAACAUGUAAAUCAGAACAUUUAGAGCUUCUUAGCU